UACAGAGGUCCCAAGCGUUGUUCGGAUUCAUUGGGCGUAAGGGUGCGUAGGUGGCGCCGUAAGUCAGGUGUGAAAUCUCGGGGCUUAACUCCGAAACUGCAUUUGAUACUGCGGUGCUUGAGGACUGGAGAGGAGACUGGAAUUUACGGUGUAGCAGUGAAAUGCGUAGAGAUCGUAAGGAAGACCAGUGGCGAAGGCGGGUCUCUGGACAGUUCCUGACACUGAGCACGAAGGCCAGGGGAGCAAACGGG
rnacentral:rRNA from 1 species